CAGAGCUGUUGUAGGAAACUUUAUAGUAUUUUUGCAGGGUGGUUGCAAUUUGUUCAGAAUUUUUCAUCGUCCGUUUACAGUAAAGGUAACGGUUUAGAUUUAGGUAAUAUUUGAACAAGGCUAUCGAUAUGAUCCUAACUCAUCGAUCUUUUUGAGUCGAUUUUCUCAUUUCCCAGUUUGAUGACCCACCAAAAAUCGCCACUAAAACUUUAUUUUUCUUCAAUACUUACAACAGGUAGGUUUACUCUAACUAUUAAAUCUAAUCCAAUUCAAUGUUCCUUUUCAUCUUCUCAAUUUCCCAUAAUAUU